CCUACGGGAGGCAGCAGUGGGGAAUAUUGCGCAAUGGGCGAAAGCCUGACGCAGCGAAGCCGCGUGAGGGAUGAAGGUCCUCGGAUCGUUAACCUCUGUCAGCAGGGAAGCACGGUCACUGUGCUAAUCAGCAGUGAAUUGACGGUACCUGCAAAGGAAGCACCGGCUAACUCCGUGCCAGCAGCCGCGGUAAUACGGAGGGUGCGAGCGUUAAUCGGAAUUACUGGGCGUAAAGCGCUCGUAGGCGGUAUGUCAAGUCAAGGGUGAAAUCCCCGCGCUCAACGUGGGAACUGCCUUUGAAACUGGCAAACUGGAGUGUGUGAGAGGAUAGUGGAAUUCCAGGUGUAGGAGUGAAAUCCGUAGAUAUCUGGAGGAACAUCAGUGGCGAAGGCGACUAUCUGGCACAUAACUGACGCUGAGGAGCGAAAGCGUGGGUAGCAAACAGGAUUAGAUACCCGUGUAGUC
rnacentral:rRNA from 1 species